rnacentral:lncRNA from 1 species
GGGCUAAUACUUAAUGGAUCUAAGCCAACUAAAUUGGAUUGGAUCUCUAUGAUUUAAAGAAUUGAAAAUAAGCUUGCUUCUUGGAAAAGCAAGUAUCUAUUCUUUGGAGAGAGACUUGUUAUAAUCAACUCUGUCAUCACUGCACUUCCUCUAUACUAUAUGUCCCUUUUCAAGCUUCUAAUUUGGGUUAUCAAGAAGAUUGAACAGCUUAGAAGGUCAUU